AGAGUUUGAUCCUGGCUCAGGAUGAACGCUAGUAGUAUGCUUAACACAUGCAAGUUGAACGAAGUUAUUUUCGUAGCGAACGGGUGAGUAAUAUGCAGAAUGCUGCCUUUUAGUUUAGGAAUAAAAAAAUUUAUAAUAUAAAUUUUUGAAUACUAAAUAUUUGUAAAGGUUAUAUUUGAAAAAAUAUUUCCGCUAAAAGAUGGGUCUGUGUAAGAUUAGGUAGUUGGUAAAUUUAACAGCUUACCAAGCCUUCGAUCUUUAGUUGGUCUUAGAGGAUGAUCAACCACACUGGAACUGAAGUAAGGUCCAGGCUGAUUUUUCGGCCAGCAGUGAGGAAUAUUGGACAAUGAACGAAAGUUUGAUCCAGCAAUACUAUCUGAAUGAAGACGGCUUUUUAGGUUGUAAAGUUCUUUCGUUAGGAAUGAUAAUGACAUUACCUAAAGAAGUAAGUCCCGGCAAAUACUCGUGCCAGCAGCCGCGGUGAUACGGGAGGGGCAAGCGUUAUCCAACAUGACUGGGCGUAAAGGGUCCGUAGACUGUAAAAUAAGUUACUUGUUAAAUUUUAAAGCUCAACUUUAAAAUAGCUUGUAAUACUGUUUUACUUGAGUUUUAUACAGAAGAGUAGAAUUUUAUACGAAGGGGUGAAAUCUGUAGAUAUAUAAAGGAAUAUCAGUAGCGAAGGCGACUCUUUAGUAAAAACUGACGUUGAGGGACGAAAGUGUAGGUAGCAAACAGGAUUAGAUACCCUGGUAGUCUACACUGUAAACUCUGAGUGCUGUAAUUUAAUGUAAAUUUUGAGUCAAAUAUGUUUUAUAUUUGAAGCUAGUAAUUUAUUUGGAUUUUUAAGCUAACGCUAUAAGCACUCCGCCUGAGGAGUACGAUCGCAAGGUUGGAACUCAAAGAAAUUGACGGGGGCUAAUACUAGUGGUGGGGCAUGUGGUUUAAUGCGAUAAUCCGCGCAAAACCUUACCAAUUCUUGACAUAGAAACUUUGUUGUAUUUAUACACUUUUAGUAAAUAAUUUAUAACUACAGUUUUUACAGGUGUUGCACGACUGUCGUAAGCUCGUGUCGUGAGAUGUUUGGUUUAUUCCCUUAACGAGCGAAACUCUUAUCUUUAAUAAUAGUUUACUGAUUUUUAAGAACGUUAUAAGUUUUUAAAAAAGCUUUAUUAGAUACUGCCAGCGAUAAGCUGAAGGAAGGUGAGAAUUAAGUCAAGUCAAUGUGACCCUAAUGAAUUGGGCUACACAUGUGCUACAAUGGAAAUCACAGAAAGUUACAAAAAAUUAUUUUUUCGUUAAUCUAUAAAAAUUUCCGCAGUUCGGAUUGUAAGCUGGAACUCGCUUACAUGAAGCCGGAAUCACUAGUAAUCGCAAAUCAGCACGUUGCGGUGAAUAUGUCAGUUAGCCUUGUACACACCGCCCGUCACAUGCAGAGAGCUAGUUUCGCUUGAAGAUUUAACGCUGUUAAGUCGAUUGAAAAACUAGUAAUUUGGAUGAAGUCGUAACAAGGUAGCCG
rnacentral:rRNA from 1 species